GUAACUCAAGCGAUUCUGACUUUAUCCUAGAUGCCAGCCCCCAGCUAUUCCUGGAAUUAGAUUCUAGGCUAGGAGUGUGUGUUUUAAUAGAAAAACAUCUAUAUGAUCUCCAAUUCUUUCAUUCUCCUAAAGAAAUGUUAGUUUUUCUAAUUUCUGCUGAUUUUUCCCAUGGACCCACUGACUCUCCCACACAUUCUGCCUCAUGAUAGAAGCACUUUAGUGAUGAAAGAAAGUAGGGCCUAUUCAUGGGAAAAAAGGUAGUCUGAAUGCUUCAGAGGAUCAUCUUGUAAGUAGCUCGUCUUUAUUGCUUCAUAGCACACAUGUGAGUUGCGGUCCUUGCUAAUUUGGUUGAUGCAGAGUUAGGAAUGGUAUGCAGUGAUAUUGAUGGAUUAUCCCUGAAGCUAAAGACUGAGAAUACCCCAUUACUUCUGUUUGAAAAUCUCAGUUACGUUCUCACCAAGACAUCCUCAUUUUCUCAGGAAUUUCUGUACACUCAGCACAAAAUGCUUGCACAAUAGGCACGGCAACUCCUGCAACUAUUGCUUACAAUCUGCUGGCUAAUCCUUUCUGUGAUCCACGCGGUGCCUACUGGGUUUGGCUUUUGACUGGGAUUAGAAUCUGGUGCUGAUGCAUACUGCCAAGCAUGCCAAGCAGCAUACAAACCUGGAGCUCAGAGCCUAUUGUUUGAGCAUCUUUCCUCUAAUUCCGCUUUUGAACCCCUGUCUCCUUCCAGCCCUUAAGUAAGACAUCUAAUCCUGUUCCAUUUCCAUACCUUUCCAGGGAUUUGUUUCGUACUAUCAGUUAAUGUCUAUUACCUGCUUUUGGACAGGGGAUGCCAGGAUGGUGUCACCCUGGUGCCACAGCAAACUAUCAAAUCCCAAGUGGGAAGCUGCGUUUCCGCUGCUCAAGCACCUCUACUAUUCAGUGAAAUUGCCUUUUCAAUGGGAAUUUCUGCCCUCUCCAGCAGUGCUGCUGCACCCAAACCAUACACAAGCAGGAAGGCAUGGCAAGUAUCAAGGCUGAGGCAUGGAGUGCCUGCUGAGUAUGGGGCACACAGUAAGUGGCUUUAGGAUUUUCUUUCUGUCCUGUCCCUGUUGCACGUGACUCCAAUGCUACUCUGGGGUCUGUGUGAGCCGGUAGGGAGCCCUUGCUCCUCCCAGUCUGUUCAGGCUUUCAGGGGUUCAUGCUGCUUUUGUCCCAGUUUCAUGUCAGUAGGGCACUUGCUGGGUCUAGGUACAGCACACCCUGCUCAGACUCCAUCCCUGCACUGCCAUGGACUUGCAUCCACGCCUUCAGUUAACCAAGCCUCAUCUGCAACCUGUUGCUCCUGCCCUACAAUGCUGCUUAAAUUUAGUUUAAAAUCUGGCCAUUUUACUGCUGCAUCCCACAUUCCUCACAGACAGUAGCAAGCUAAUAACAACGUGCUGAUGCCAUCGUAGCCAUCACAGGCUGGAGCUGGCAUGCAUAGUCUUGUCUCGUAAACCUCUUUGUCCCGUGAGAGAUUUGAGAAUUUAAUACACAUUCGGUCUGUACCUCCUUAUUUGAGGCUGGCCAGUCUGAAUCACUUUUGAUAAACUCUAAGCAGGAAUUUCAAACAUAGUUAUGUUCCUAUCAGUUUAAUUAAAGUAGAUGACUGGGUAGAGAAACCCUGUGAAAUGUUCCCAUUGAGGAGAAGGCUGUGCUGGGUGUGCCCCCGAGGAACCAUCAGGGAAUCUGCACAGGGCCAUGGCUGUUAUCAUGGGGCACUGAGGAACUUUACUUGAAGCUCUGUCUUGCACUGCCUUAUGAGGAUGCGACACUGUGUGGAUAUGAGAAGCUGGAAAGGACAGGCAUGGCAUGGAGUUUACUUUGCCAACAUUGGUGUCAAUGUAUACCCAGGAACUGCAAAUACUGGUUGGAAACACGUUGUGCUGUCCAGAGGCAUAAUUACAGAAAGCUUGUAGUUGUCUUUAUCACAAAGUUUUAAUUAGCAGGACACAUUAAAUAACCAGCUGAUACAGAUCUUAAUGAAUCAUUUAUAGGCCUACAUCUAGGAUAAUUAUAUGUAGCUGGUCACAUGAAAUCACUUGCAUACGCCUG
ensembl:lncRNA